rnacentral:tRNA from 1 species
CUAAAGAGCCCUGGUUUUCUUUAGUAGGGAGCAGUAUUGCAGAGCAGGAUCUGCUUGCUAGCGUGUGCACUGCAACUUGCCUCUGGAUUUAUCUACUAUAUCCUUUCAAACUAUUACUCUUCUGGGCAUUUGGUGGGACGACUGUGUACCUAUGGCCAUAGUGACGGAUGUUGCCAUUGCUCUCAACUUAUUUCUAUUCCAAGAAAGUCUCAGCGACUGCUCUGGUACACACUCCUUGAGUACCUGGAGCUGACUAGAAGUGGGAUUUCUUGGUUAUGAGUGUGAACAGUGCAAAGUCUGCUCAUCUUCACUGCGUGGAGGCAGCUGUGUUAAGUGUGUAGCUGUGAAGUUGGCCCUCCUAGGGUGGGAAGGCAUUUGGAAAGUAGGGGACUUCUUGGGGAAAGAACACUCUCUGGUUGUUUUGACGCAGUCUUAGGAGAGAGAAAAGGUACCAAAAGCCGAGAGCCAAAUCUGGACAAUGUUGAAUCCUUGGCUGGGAGAUCAGCACAUUUUUUAAGAGCUGACAGCCACCCCUGCACGCUGCAGUGUAGAAUUAAUGAAGACACAAGUAUAAGGAAGCCUCUAAUUGAAUGCAGCAUAGAGCAAGCAGAGUCGAACACACAGCAUUCCCAGCUGAAAUCCCACGUGUUGGCUUCUAACCCUCCUGGACGGCCGGCACAAGAAAAUAUUUCUGGGCUGUGUCUCGGGCAGCCUGUUCUAUCCGCGUGGCCAAAAGAGAACAAGCAUGGCCUGUCUCCUGGAUAGAGGCACUGGGUUAUCUGGAAUCCAAGAUUGCCUUUGGUAAAGCUCUUGUUGGGUUGGCUAAAAGGCAUGGCAUAGGAGAGAAAAGAAAGAACCCCAAGAAACAGAGGUGUUUGGGCAGGAGCCCUCUGCUAUAGUUCAUGUCUGUUACCAGUUCGUGUGUGACAGCUCUGGUUGGCUGGAGGUGGACAGCCCUUCUCCAUCACUCCGGGCAAGCUCCAUCAAUCCCCUGCUUGGUCUUGUACAUCCCUCGAUAUGCAGAUUCCCAUGUGAGGCAGAAUGGGAACACAUCUUCCUUUCAGAAUUCCUGGUUGGUGAUUCAUAGCAUGGUUAUCCAGCUGCUUUGUCUCCUGGGGCCAUCCCUGGGGAUGAUCCCCCCGCCCCCCCGCCCUACCACCAUGUUUGGUCCUUGCUGCUGUGUGACUUUCUGGUGGGGGGUGGGGUGGAAAUUGCUGAGUGGCCUACAACAGAUCUGAACCUGAGAUGACCAAAGGAAUCCUGGGUAUGUGCAUCACUGGGCCCCUUCAGCCAGCUGCUGCUGGAGCUGUUGAGUGCAGGCUGGCUUGACUCGGAUCCCCUGGGGUCAUUUCCACACAUUUCACAUGCCUUGUGUUUCCUGUGUCACCAAACCAUGCUAUUUAGUUGUAAAGGGUCUCCUCUGGCAGGUCAAGGCUGUGGACACCUCCUUUCAAAUCCCAGGUGCUGUGUUGGCUUGUGGAGACCCUGGCAGAUUUGUGCAGUGACCCUGACUCCUCAUGCCCCAUCCUUUUGGUUAAAGGCAUGCAGCUGCAUUGCUGCUUAAUGUGUGGGCAGUGCUCUACCGGCAGGAGGUAGUGGCACGGCUCAGAGAACGGGGCCAUGUGUACAGCCUAGCUCUGCCCUCAGCACCAGAGCUGCAGGGAAGUCCCUGGGUGUCUGCAGAGCAGGUGGCCUCCGUCUGAACACCCAGCUCUGUCAGCUGUUGAGAGCCCUAGUUGGAAGAAGCAUUCCAGGGACAUUCCUUCUGUCUGGAGCAGGGACUUGGCUUGAACCUUGAACCAAAAAAACCAGAACAAGCUGCACCAGUUUGCUCCACCUCAAAACAAAUGCUUUUUUUUUUUCCUUCCUUAAUAGCACUGAGAACAAAACCCAAGUUCUGGGGUUGGCGUGCUUUGUUUUCCCACUGGGGAACAGUUAGGAAACAAGACUAAACUGGUUCUUCUGACUGACUGAGAGGGGAGGAAGAGGGCCUCUGCACGGGCCUUGGGUUUACUCAGUUAGCUCCCAUGCAGGUUGAUACUAGAAGAUAUGGCAAGGUCUGUGGAGAUUGUAUGAGGGUAUCUGCAGGCUGGAGAGGCUGAGGAGGCUGAGGCUCUGACCUGGGCAACCUGUAUGGGGGAAGAAAUGUGUGGAGUUUGAAGCCUCCUGGCAGCCACAGGGAAGGGUGCAGAAGCCCCCAGAGCAAACUGGCCCAGGAAAUACCCUUCUUUUUGAAGAAAAGUAGUUGCUUCUUCUGUGUCACGUGACCCUUUCACCCUGACAUGCACAAUGCUACCUACCUAAGUGAACACCUUCUCACAGUGCCACUCCUGACUGGAGGGGCUUUUACCACUCUGUGUAUUCAUUUCGUUCAUGUCACUUGUUUUUCUGUCUGCUUAGGAGCUGUAUCUGAAUCUACUGAUAUUUUAGCUACUGUCUUUUCCUCAUGGCCUGAAGUCAGCACCCUGCUACCCAGACCGUGGCCUGGCAGGAUUUCUGUCCUGUUGGCACCAGCUGACCAACAAAUGUUGUCUUCAUCUAAGUUGUUCUGUUUACCAAUAAACUCAGGAGUCAGAUGUUGGGGUGGAAACCUGCUAGAUCAGAGGAGCCAAGAAGCAACCAGCUCACCUUCCUUUUCGGCCAGAGGCGAAGCAAGAAAAGUGUCUCUACUUAUCCCAAACCAAAAAGUCCUCGAAUCUCUAAGUCCCUUCCUCUCAUUCCUGUGUCUCUCUAUCCAUAUUGCUGGGUCCUCCAUACUCUCUAUGGCUCAUUCUUGUCAACUAGUCACUGGCUCUACCCACUGAUCCAAGGUUAAUUUUAUUAACAAUCGGCCUUGGACUUUCACUGUACAGUCGAAUAUCCAAAAACACACUGUGAUUAGAAAUAUCCAAUAGGGGCUGAGGGAUAGCUCAGCAGUAAAGGGCUAGGCUCACAACCUACCAGCCAUGCCCCACCUUCUAAAGGUCCCAUAGUCUUCAAAAUGGUACCGCAAGCCAAGCAAGGUACAUUACUCUCUGAGAGGAUGUUCCCUAGAAAUACUGUCAGAUUCUUCUAGAAGUUUGAGUCUGGAGACUGUGACUGAAUUUGUUUCCUGACCUCCUCACUCCCUCUGGAUUUACCAGGUAACCUGGGAUCUGAACCAGUCCAUCCAACACAUAACUACAGCUGAGGCUGCCAUAGGAACAUAUGUUUGCUUCCUGUCACAUUUAACCAAAGCUUGUCCACAUAAAGUGUUUCCUGGCUCUGUUACCCUGUACAGGUUGCUUAACUUCUCUGAGUCCUAAUACCUCUCUGUAUCAAAUGAAGCUAAUGCUAUCCUUCAGAAAGGUCCAUGGGAAUGAAUGUGCUAUGGUACCUCAACACUCAUGACCUCACUUGGUCCAGGGUCCCUUUCCUUCACGUGAAGAUAGCAACUGCAUGAUGGGUAGGAGGGAGCUAGUGUCACAAGACAUAUUUGGCUGAUUUCAUUCGGGGUUCUAUAAAAAGGUUAAAUUUAGUUCAGAUGUAAAUUUAGCAAAUAGGUGUGAUUUGGGGUCUUAUCCCAUCCCCCUUUCUGUUUAUGGCUUGGUUCAGUCUCUGUUGCCCAAAGCAAUCAUCCACAUAGCACUAAUUAAGACAUCUGUGGAGCUCCCAAAAGUGAAAUUCCAAAACCCAGAUGCCUGCCAAAGCUUACUGGAAUUUAUCACAUUUUUUUUACAUGCUUGGUACCACCCAGUACAGCACUAGCCCUUUAUGGCAGUGGGCAGCCUGAUCAUGGAGUGCUCUGCCAGUGGCAUUCCCAGUGCCAUGCUACUAACUCUGAGCCUUUCCCCAGUUUCUUGGUCCCUAAGGAGGAAAAUAAACCUGAUUUAAUCAUUUUUGCUACGAGGAAAGGGCUUAGGAAAAAUAAAGUUGAGGUAGAUGGAUGCACCUGCCGUGGUCUUAUGAAGGCUGAAAUCUGUCUCUUCAAGUCAGACCCUGGAUCUCGGCUCCUCACUCUGUCUUUGUCUGUUCUGGAGCCACUGUCCUUCCUAACAGUUCUGUAAGAAGCCUCCUCUGUAGCUCAUGUUCUAUACCUUCUUCUCCUCCCACACACUUCCCAGGACAACCUGAUGCAGACUGGGGUAUGAAAGGGAAAGGAGAAAGUGCAUAGUCACAGAUGAAAAGUGAUGGAUGAGAGCAAGUGAGGCAGUGGACACAAAGCACGAGAAAGAUGUCGUAGAGAGAUAUCCACCCUGCCCACACCUGUGGUGCUGACCAUGUCUGUUUGAGCGUGGUCACAGGUUCAGACGUGACGGACGGUGGUUUUAGGUCUGGGGUCGGGGACAAGCUGCUCUCUCUUCCUUCCAGUAGGGUCACAGAGAGCAGCCUGGGUGAAUCCUUGGAGUGGGAACUUGCAUCCAUGCAUCCAUAUCUGGCACCCAACGUGUGGCUCGAACCCACAACCCUGGGAUUAAAAGUCCCAAGCUCUCCCGAUUGAGCUAGCUGGGCUGUUACUAUUUGACCCGUGACACCUCCAGGCUCGAAUCUUUUCAAGACUGAAGCCUGGUUGACAGAGGUAUGUCAGUAGAUGGUUAGCCUAUGAAGGUCAGACCUGCUUCUCUGUUUCACUGGCUUGCUAGCUCUACUUCCUGGUCAGUUGACAUUCUAGCAAGCCUCUGUCACAUGUGUCUGCCGUCCCACCAAGGUGAACAAAAAGCUUUCUGAAACCGUGGGUCCGAAUGCCUAUGUCCUCCCUUCAAUUGUCUCUGUCAGGUAUUUUGUGGCCUUGAUGAGAAAAGUAACUACUCCAUAUUUAGAGGCUUCAGGGGAUUCUGGGAUGUUUUAUAUCAAAUCUUCGUAACAAAAUGAUGUGUGGUGCCUAUGUCAUAAGAAUCAGGUACUUGAGAGGUUGCAGGAUAUGUGUGUUUAUAAGUUUGAAAUAUCUUAUUGAAAAGCUUUAUUUUGAAAUGACUUUGGGAAGAGGAAGAGGUUGAACUUUAAAAAAAAUUGUGUCAUAUCUUUGCUAGCACAGGCAGCUUGCUCUAUGUCAUGGGAAUAUUGAAAUAUACCCUUGAUUUGAGUGGCCGAAUGACUGAGUACACCACUGAGAUAAAAUUUGAAAUCACUCCCCCACCCAUAAGCAAAUUAUACCUUUAACCCAUGGACAUAUUGCAACAAGUGAAACCCAGCUGCCUGCCAGAGCAUUCUGGAAUGUGAAGUGUUAGACCCUGGUCAAAGUUUCAGGACACUUGCACUUCUUUUGGGGUGAUAGUUUUUAUUAAUUCCUUCCAGAUUACUUUUCAAGCUUGUCCCCAGGGGAGAAGAGUAUUUGUGUAGUUGCUGCCCACAUGCCAACUCUCCUUUGUGAUCCAUAACAACGUAAAGCUUGUUGGAUUGUCUCCCAGGUUCUAGAAGGAUGCCAUGUCACGAGUGGCCCUUCACAAUUAGCCUUGUUUGUGGGGACCAUGUAAGUGUUCUCAGACCCUGAUCUCAGGGUCCUCCAUGGAUUUCUGAUGAUGGUCUGUGGGCACCAGGGAGGGGCAGGGUAGUGAGUUCAUGUCCAGUGGCAUAGGGAAGCUCUAAUUCAUAUCCAAGGUGGUCAAGGACUAAGGGAGCACUAUUUAUGGAGCCUUGAACCCCUUCAUUAUGAGACAGUGCCAUUCAGAUGUCUUUUUUGGGUGUGUGUUGAGGUAUGUAAUUAGCCUGCCCUUGGCUUUGAGCUUUCAGAACACGGAGAGGCUCACACACGAGGAUCUCACACAUCUAGCUACACUGUCUGAUUCUGGGAAAAGUGACAGGGUGACCUUAGCUAGUCUUCCCAGACUUGACCCAGACAAAACCAAGGGGUCUGAGUCCGGGUGAAACUCAGAAGCCAGGGAUAGACAUCUUGGAAGGACUUUUUUCAGUCUUCUCUGUGUGGUGAUGUACUACACCAAAUGUUACUGAGUAAAUGGAAGAGCUCUCUGUGGUUAAAGCUGCAAUGGUCAGGACAACAAAACAAAACAGUCAAUUCUGUAUGGCUCAGAGUACAGAAGGGAUAUUCACAAGUUCACACAGAUGCAAAUAAAUGAUCAAUAAAUUAAUACGUGGAAAGAAGAGGCCAAUCUCCUAAAGAGAAAAAUUCCAAGAAUUCGUGUUGAUAACUACUUUAAAAUGGAUGGAAUAUAACUCCUUGUUCCUCAGAUGUAAGUUACAGGCUUAGGUGACUUCAUGGUGGUAUGAAUGUCACAUUGCAUGCUUGUACAAAACCUAGGUGGUCUAGCCUACAACAGACAACAUGUCCAGGCUACAAAGUAUACACCAUUGUAUGGGUAGGUUAUUGACUGAAUGCUAUUGUGUAACAUGUGACAAACCUUUCCACACAUUCUUGAAUGAAUUCACAUAUUUCCUCAGAUGCUUCACACAGGUUCUGGGACAUUAACUUUCAAAACCUUUUUGGUAGCCUCUGUAUGAGGAAGAUCCUGGCCAUGAGUCUUCUUUAGGUUAGGGUCACUUGAAAUGCAUGGUACCCAGGACCACAGGGUACCAUAUAGCUAUGCUGUCUGAAGUGGUGGCCCUAUGAAAACACUGAGAAUUUGGUGCUGACAGCAGAGAAAACACAUCACAUGUUAGAGCCUUAGUGUUAGUCCCUGCUAGUCAUUUUAUGCUGCUAGUGUUGAAUGGAUACUGUUUGAAUAUACUGGGUUAAAUAGAUUGUCAAGCUUAAAUCUUCCUACUUAUUUUUCUUCUUCUUUCUUCUCUUCCUCCUUCUCCUCUCACUUUCUGGGUUUAUUGAGACAGGAUCUCUUGUAGCCUGGGAUGGCCUCAAACUCAUUAUAUAGCUGAGGAUAACGAGUUCCUGAGCCGAAUUGCCUAGUUUAUGUGGUGCUGGACACCAACCCCAGGCUUUGAGGAUGCAAGAGCACAUAUGUCUUUCUAUUACAAAUACAGCUAAGGGGUGGGGUCAUAGUCCAGUAGUAGAAUGAUUCCCCUGUAUGUCUGAAGCCCUAGGUUCAAUUACAAGUACUACAAAAACACAGUAAAUGAUUCGGGAUGCAACGAAAGCAAUCCUGAAAGAUAAUUUUAUAGCUACAUUAAAAUAAUCAGAAAGCUGCCAAAUAAAUAACUUGACAGUGUAAUUUAGAGUCUUGUGAUAAUGUGAGCAAGCCAAACUAAAAGACAAUGAGUGGAAAGAACCAAGGCAGGGCAAGAAUUAAUGAAAUAAAAACAAAAAACAAUACAAAGAGUCAAUGAAACAAAAUAGUUGGUUCUUUGACACAGUAAGCAAAAUUGACAAAACUUUAGUGAAAUGAACCAAAAGAAAGUGAAGACCCAAAUUAAUAAAAUUAGAGGUGAAAAAAUGAGACAUCAAUGAAAUUCAGAAAAUUAUUAGGAUUUCUUUGUAACUAAAACUAGAUGAAGACACAAGAAAUAAAUUACAGAUUUAUAUCUUUGAUGAGAAUAGGUGUAAAUUUUCCCAAUAAAA